rnacentral:tRNA from 1 species
CGGGAUAUAGCUCAAGCAGUAGAGCGCAUGCUUAGUAUGCAUGAGGUUCUGGGUUCAGUCACCAGUGUCUCCU